ensembl:lncRNA
ACUCGACGGUUGUGCUGUGUUUUGAGUAAAGAGAUGCUUUUUAACAACGAACAUGUGUGGCAGGAAAGCUAUUUUUCACAGCCACUCACGGCUGCGUGCGCGGGACGCAUCAUCAUCAUUUAUUCAGCAGGAGAUGCCACACAACUAAGGAGAUGUAUGGUUGGAGUCGGGGAGGCCUACUCGCUUCUGCAUGCACAAGGGGCUUUGACCGGCACCCGAGGGCCUUGGGAUCGAUACAUACUGGAUCAUGAUGUCCCACACCCACGCGCGCCACCACGUAUCAGCCGGGUGAAGUGGUGGUCGACCCUAGUUUCCAGCGUGUCCAGUGUGUCGCGACGAGAGAGGCAGGAGACAAGCGGAUGGACGCCAGGAGGAGUGAAUGAAAAAGGAAGCGUUUUUUCAUUCAUCAUGAUAGAACAUUAACAGAGUCUGGUGCAGUGCUCUCCCGAAGUGGUGGAUGGGGGAGAGAGAGAGAGAGAGAGAGACAAAGACAGAUAAUUAAUUGAUGUUAACAUGAAGGGCAUUUGACCGAUCUAUAAAUUAAUGUAAAGGGUUACGAUGGAUAACGCUGAUUAUCUCAACACGCUGCAAUCUUAAAUACAUGUGGAAAAAAAAACACUACAUUUGAAAAGCAUUGAAGGGGUAACCUGCAAACAGGACCAACAGUGAGACAGAAAAAACUUGCUGUUAAUUGGCGUGGUUAAUUGCGUCCUGCCGAUCACCUCUGCUGAAGAAGCGCCGGUGGCUAAACGAUGUCCUUACAUCAUUCAUGGAGGAUAGAAUGUGCCCAGGCGCCUCGUUAAACCCAAUCCUAGGAACGGAAACAGAAAUAGAAGCGUCUUUACUGGUAUGUUUGUGUUUUUCCCGUUAUUUGAGAAAGCAUCUGUGUGUGUUUUGGUUAACCAACUCCUCACCAUGUGUCGGCCGUCUCCACCGGCUGGAGGCUCGGUGCUGAACGUCUUUGUGGGGCAGUGUGUGUCAUGCCGCAUUAUGCCGUAUCUUCAAUGAAUUUUCCCCAUGAUACGUAUUGAAAGCCCUGGAGGGAGAUCCGGGGAGAUACGGGGAGCCGGGGAAGCCAGGCCAACAGCAGCCCCACAGCUGGGCAGAUAAAACUGCAGGAGAUUGGGAAGACGCCUCCGCUCCCUUCCUCCUCUCUCCUGACACUCUCUCCCCUCACCCCGGAGGAGUACAGCAGAGUAAAGAGCAAUUCCUUCUGAUUCUCAGCUCCAACUUGGGUGGUGCUGGGGGUGUGUGUGUGUGUGUGUGUGUGUGUGUGUGUG